CUCUGCCCCCCGGCGCUCUGCCCCCCGGCGCUCUGCCCCCCGGCGCGCUGCCCCCGCAACUGUCGCACCCGCCGCACCAGCCGUUACCCCCGAGGUGCUGAUCUCGAGCUGGACGUCAGUUCUGAAGCUGUAAAUAAAUUCUUCAUUCCUUCAAAUUCUUAUUAUAAAUUAUUGUGAUUGAUGCUUAUGUACCUAGUAUAUUAAUAUAUAAAUUAUUUUAAA